rnacentral:rRNA from 1 species
UACGUAGGGGGCAAGCGUUGUCCGGAUUUAUUGGGCGUAAAGAGCGUGUAGGCGGUCAGGUAGGUCGGUUGUGAAAACUGGAGGCUCAACCUUCAGAGGUCGACCGAAACCCCCUGGCUAGAGUCCGGGAGAGGAGAGUGGAAUUCCUGGUGUAGCGGUGAAAUGCGCAGAUAUUAGGAAGAACACCCGUGGCGAAAGCGGCUCUCUGGAACGGUACUGACGCUGAGACGCGAAAGCGUGGGGAGCGAACAGG